rnacentral:misc_RNA from 1 species
GAUGAAGAACGCAGCAAAAUGCGAUAAGUAAUGUGAAUUGCAGAAUUCAGUGAAUCAUCGAAUCUUUGAACGCACAUUGCGCCCGCCAGUAUUCUGGCGGGCAUGCCUGUUCGAGCGUCAUUUCAACCCUCAAGCACAGCUUGGUGUUGGGACUCGCGUUAAUUCGCGUUCCUCAAAUUGAUUGGCGGUCACGUCGAGCUUCCAUAGCGUAGUAGUAAAACCCUCGUUACUGGUAAUCGUCGCGGCCACGCCGUUAAACCCCAACUUCUGAAUGUUGACCUCGGAACAGGUAGGAAUACCCGCUGAACUUAAGCAUAUCAAUAAGCGGAGGA